ensembl:processed_transcript
GGAUUGUAAGUUGUAUCCUGGUACUCUGAGCCUCAUGGAUUUGGGAAGGGAAAUUCUCCCUCAAUGGAACGACUUCCAUCCAAGACUGUUCUGCUCUUCAUCUCCAGAAAGAAGCAAAGGACCUCAAAUCUCAGCAUGUACACCAGUAGGAUCAGGCUGAACAGUUUCAAGCAUUGUGUUUCAGUCCUCAGAGCCACCAUACAAGGUACAGUCUGUUUUUUGAACAAAUGGCACAAUUGAGUCAUGGUGAAGUCAACCUUGUGGAUAAGAAGAAGGAUUAACUCUGGCCCUUGGUAGAGCACUGAUCUCGUAUGAUCAAGGCCCUGGAUCGAACUAUGGGAAAUGAAAAAGAAAUUUCAAACAUAAAGACACACACAAACAAUUUAGAACUACCAAUGCAGCUACUUUCAACUUCACUGUACCUUCCUGAAAUGUUUCAAAUGUAAUAUUGAAACUGAAUAUUUGUGGUGUCUUGAGUUCAAACAUUCAUUCAUUGAUUUACGUUUCUGAGGAAUGAUGGGUACUCAUCUAGUCUCAGUCCAUUUAAGAUUCACAAACAUUGUCCCAGACAAUGAGACCCAUCUUUCUUCAGCAUAGAGAAGAUGAAUCACUAGACUAUGCACGUAGCAGUAAAGGGGCUUGAUACAGCCAAACUUUGGCUCAGACCCUCUGGCCAGGCCCAUUUGGAUAAUGUGCCUGCUUUUGCACAGUUGUCAGUCUUAUCAGUAAGUGUCCUGUGAGCAAAAAAACCAAGAAGACUCCUCCAGUAAGAGUAAAAGAUGCUUGUGACUGUCUGCAGUUAAGGUAGUAGAGUUCUCAUAACUUGGGCCUUCAUUUCUCCAGGCCCAGCUGUCCCCUGGCUUUGGCAGUGGCAUAUUGAUGGGACUGUCUGUUCUAGAAAACACAUGCUGGGAUGUUAGAAAGGAUGAGCUCUCAGCUUCCAUAGUGAUAUCUCUUUUGGAGCCCUUACUUGAGGGCCUAGUACCAAAUCAGGCCAUAUUCACAGAUGGUUCUUUCUUUCCCACCACUGAUAAUCAGGCCUUUCUUUAUUUUAUUCAUAUUACUGUUGUUGAUAGAGUCUCAUGUUUCCCAGGCAGGCACAGAGUCAUGAUCCUUCUGCCCUAUGUCCAUGGUGUUGAAAUAAGAGGCUUGUCACCAC